rnacentral:lncRNA from 1 species
AAAGACAGUCUGGACAAAACUGUGAAUGCCUCUGGUUAAAAGAAGUGCAGAAAAAGCUGGCUGCCCUCUGUUCUAAACUCUUAAAUUUGUGGAUCAGCUCAUGGAAUCAACUUAAGUGUCCAUAACGGAUGGAUUGGAUAAAGAAAAUGUGGUACAUAUGCACCAUGGAAUACUACACAGACAUUAAAAAAAAUCACGUCCUUGUCAGCAACAUGGAUGCAGCUGGAGGUCAUUAUCCUAAGUGAAUCAACACAGAAACAGAACAUCAAACACUGCAUUUUCUCGUAAGUGGAAGCUGAACUGUGGGUACACAGGAACAUAAAGAUGAAAAUAAUAGACACUGGGGGCUCUAAAAGUGGGGAGAGAAAGAGGAGGACAAGGGUUGAAAAACUACCUAUUGAGUAUCUAUGUUCACUCUUUGGGUGAUGGGUUCACCAGAAUCCCAAAUGCCAGCAUUAUGCAAUACACCCAUGCAAUAAACCUGCACAUGUACCCCUGAAUUUGUAAUAAAAAUUUGAACAUCAUCA